AGGACUGGGAACAAAUUUAUUGUACCAAAGUUGAUUGACUGACCCCAUUUUUCAUUAAGAUACAUGCAUAGAGGAGUCUGACAUGGCAGAGACAAUAUCAGAGAAGGUUGUUGUCACUGCUUUAGGCUCUUAUGCCUUGCCAAAAAGUGGUGGCAAGAAGUUCAUUCCAAAUCCAUGUGUUAUUCCUUGACUGCCCCUUUGUAUUGUUUUCUUCCUGCCCAGACUGGGUGAGUAGAUCAUGCGUGGAAAAGGUAUAAGUUAGCUGUUUUUUAAGAUAUUAUGGUAAUAAGUAGUUUUAAAUAAUUAUUUUUCUGACACAUUUUAGAGUAUUUCCUGGAAUGUUCUCAAGUAUCAGUGCCUUUAAUCACUAGGGUUCAUUUUAUUUUGUUUGUUAAUACAGGAUAUUGACAAGUUUCAUAGCUAAUUUUUAAAUAGAUUAUAUUUUCAUUAUGAAGUAUAUCUUUUGUUAUAUUAAAAUUUCC
rnacentral:lncRNA from 1 species